rnacentral:sRNA from 1 species
UCCAUCUGAGCGCCGGAUCAGACGAACAAAGGCUGUCCCUCCGGAACGCAUUCCGGAGGGACAGCCUUUUCUCCUGAGU